rnacentral:lncRNA from 1 species
AUGGCCAUCCAGCCUUUGUUUAAAAGUUUCCAAGGAAGAAGCCUACACCACCACACUCUGAGGCAGAGAGUUCCACUAUCACAAUGUGAUAAGAUUGACCAUCAAGCUAUUGCCAUUCUCAACACUUUUCACUUUUGCUUUAAAAUGGUGGCUGGCUUUUUGGGAACUUUUAAACAGAGGCUGGAUGGCCAUCUGUCAGGGAUACUUUGGUUCUGCUUUCCUACAUGGCAGGGGGUUGGACUAGAUGGCCCAUGUGGUCUCUUCCAACUCUAUUAUUCUAUGAUUCUAUAUUAUUUUAAACUGCACUGCUUGCCACAGCUUCUUCCCCCUUUUAUAGUUCAUGUGCCUUCCCACAUCUCACCUCCCAUCUAAGUUCAUUCUGUACUCACAAGAUCACAGUUUCAGUCCAUGACAUAUGUCAACAGGACUGGUAAAUUCUUCUGGCUGAAAAUCUGAAAAGCUUCCCCAAUCAAUGUAGAUCAGUUGUUGGUAUGUUCUGGGAGUUAGGAGCCAUUUUUGCUCUCUGAAAACAAUUGUAGAUGUCAUCCCUAGAAAAACAACAAGAUCACAUUUUUUCCAAUCCAGAAGUCACCUAUAUUCUCUUCCAGUUUUGAAAAAGAUGAACUGGUCAUCUCCCCAUCAUUAUGGUGUUGCUAUGCUUUUCUUUUUUUAAUCAGUUGGAUAUGGAGUAUUGUGUGGUUUCUGAUUUGUAUGGCUGUGUAGCAGCAUUUUUUCCUGAUGUUUCUCUUGCAUCUGUAGGUGGCAUCUUCAGAGCCCAUAAACCACAUAACAUUCCAGUGAUUCUGGCCAUGAAAGCCUUUGACAACACAAUUGGAUAUGUUUUCGUGCCAUUUUGUUUUCCUUGUGCAUUUUUGAUCAUAUUAUCACCAUCCUUUGUUUUCUUAGCAUUGUGUACCAAGAUCCUGCAUUAACCAUGUAGGCAUGUUGUCAUAGCUACAUUUUAAAUCCCCAUUCAAUCCCUGAAACAUAUCUUAAAAGUCAGUCAGCUGCCUGCAGCAGUGCAAGUUUGUGUAGCUGAGCAGGGUGUUACAGAACAAUAACCA